rnacentral:rRNA from 1 species
GACGAACGCUGGCGGCGUGCUUAACACAUGCAAGUCGAACGGAAAGGCCCUGCUUGCAGGGUGCUCGAGUGGCGAACGGGUGAGUAACACGUGGGUGAUCUGCCCCUUACUUUGGGAUAAGCCUGGGAAACUGGGUCUAAUACUGGAUAGUACCAUGCUGUAGGUGGUGUGGUGGAAAGAUUAGUUUCGGUAAGGGAUGAGCUCGCGGCCUAUCAGCUUGUUGGUGGGGUAAUGGCCUACCAAGGCGUCGACGGGUAGCCGGCCUGAGAGGGUGGACGGCCACAUUGGGACUGAGAUACGGCCCAGACUCCUACGGGAGGCAGCAGUGGGGAAUAGUGCACAAUGGGCGCAAGCCUGAUGCAGCGACGCCGCGUGGGGGAUGACGGCCUUCGGGUUGUAAACUCCUUUCAGCCAUGACGAAGCCCUUGUGGUGACGGUAGUGGUAGAAGAAGCACCGGCUAACUACGUG